rnacentral:rRNA from 1 species
AGAGUGAACGCUGGCGGCAGGCCUAACACAUGCAAGUCGAGCGGCAGCGCGGGUAGCAAUACCUGGCGGCGAGCGGCGGACGGGUGAGGAAUACGUGGGAACAUACCUUUUGGUUCGGAACAACACAGGGAAACUUGUGCUAAUACCGGAUAAGCCCUUACGGGGAAAGAUUUAUCGCCAAAAGAUUGGCCCGCGUCUGAUUAGCUAGUUGGUGAGGUAACGGCUCACCAAGGCGACGAUCAGUAGCUGGUCUGAGAGGAUGAUCAGCCACAUUGGGACUGAGACACGGCCCAAACUCCUACGGGAGGCAGCAGUGGGGAAUAUUGGACAAUGGGCGCAAGCCUGAUCCAGCCAUGCCGCGUGAGUGAUGAAGGCCCUAGGGUUGUAAAGCUCUUUGUGCGGGAAGAUAAUGACGGUACCGCAAGAAUAAGCCCGGCUAACUUCGUGCCAGCAGCCGC